AAUACAUGCAAGUCGAACGGUAGCACAGAGAGCUUGCUCUCGGGUGACGAGUGGCGGACGGGUGAGUAAUGUCUGGGAAACUGCCUGAUGGAGGGGGAUAACUACUGGAAACGGUAGCUAAUACCGCAUAACGUCGCAAGACCAAAGAGGGGGACCUUCGGGCCUCUUGCCAUCAGAUGUGCCCAGAUGGGAUUAGCUAGUAGGUGGGGUAACGGCUCACCUAGGCGACGAUCCCUAGCUGGUCUGAGAGGAUGACCAGCCACACUGGAACUGAGACACGGUCCAGACUCCUACGGGAGGCAGCAGUGGGGAAUAUUGCACAAUGGGCGCAAGCCUGAUGCAGCCAUGCCGCGUGUAUGAAGAAGGCCUUCGGGUUGUAAAGUACUUUCAGCGAGGAGGAAGGCAUUAAGGUUAAUAACCUUAGUGAUUGACGUUACUCGCAGAAGAAGCACCGGCUAACUCCGUGCCAGCAGCCGCGGUAAUACGGAGGGUGCAAGCGUUAAUCGGAAUUACUGGGCGUAAAGCGCACGCAGGCGGUCUGUCAAGUCGGAUGUGAAAUCCCCGGGCUCAACCUGGGAACUGCAUUCGAAACUGG
rnacentral:rRNA from 2 species